rnacentral:misc_RNA from 1 species
GAUGAAGAACGUAGCAAAAUGCGAUAAGUAAUGUCAAUUGCAGAAUUCAGUGAAUCAUCGAAUCUUUGAACGCACAUUGCGCCCGCCAGUAUUCUGGCGGGCAUGCCUGUUCGAGCGUCAUUUCAACCCUCAAGCACAGCUUGGUGUUGGGACUCGCGUUAAUUCGCGUUCCCCAAAUUGAUUGGCGGUCACGUCGAGCUUCCAUAGCGUAGUAGUAAAACCCUCGUUACUGGUAAUCGUCGCGGCCACGCCGUUAAACCCCAACUUCUGAAUGUUGACCUCGGAUCAGGUAGGAAUACCCGCUGAACUUAAGCAUAUCAAUAAGCGGAGGA